GGUUAAGCGACUAAGCGUACACGGUGGAUGCCCUGGCAGUCAGAGGCGAUGAAGGACGUGCUAAUCUGCGAUAAGCGUCGGUAAGGUGAUAUGAACCGUUAUAACCGGCGAUUUCCGAAUGGGGAAACCCAGUGUGAUUCGUCACACUAUCAUUAACUGAAUCCAUAGGUUAAUGAGGCGAACCGGGGGAACUGAAACAUCUAAGUACCCCGAGGAAAAGAAAUCAACCGAGAUUCCCCCAGUAGCGGCGAGCGAACGGGGAGCAGCCCAGAGCCUGAAUCAGUGUGUGUGUUAGUGGAAGCGUCUGGAAAGGCGCGCGAUACAGGGUGACAGCCCCGUACACAAAAAUGCACAUGCUGUGAGCUCGAUGAGUAGGGCGGGACACGUGGUAUCCUGUCUGAAUAUGGGGGGACCAUCCUCCAAGGCUAAAUACUCCUGACUGACCGAUAGUGAACCAGUACCGUGAGGGAAAGGCGAAAAGAACCCCGGCGAGGGGAGUGAAAAAGAACCUGAAACCGUGUACGUACAAGCAGUGGGAGCACAGAGCAAUCUGUGUGACUGCGUACCUUUUGUAUAAUGGGUCAGCGACUUAUAUUCUGUAGCAAGGUUAACCGAAUAGGGGAGCCGAAGGGAAACCGAGUCUUAACUGGGCGUUAAGUUGCAGGGUAUAGACCCGAAACCCGGUGAUCUAGCCAUGGGCAGGUUGAAGGUUGGGUAACACUAACUGGAGGACCGAACCGACUAAUGUUGAAAAAUUAGCGGAUGACUUGUGGCUGGGGGUGAAAGGCCAAUCAAACCGGGAGAUAGCUGGUUCUCCCCGAAAGCUAUUUAGGUAGCGCCUCGUGAAUUCAUCUCCGGGGGUAGAGCACUGUUUCGGCAAGGGGGUCAUCCCGACUUACCAACCCGAUGCAAACUGCGAAUACCGGAGAAUGUUAUCACGGGAGACACACGGCGGGUGCUAACGUCCGUCGUGAAGAGGGAAACAACCCAGACCGCCAGCUAAGGUCCCAAAGUCAUGGUUAAGUGGGAAACGAUGUGGGAAGGCCCAGACAGCCAGGAUGUUGGCUUAGAAGCAGCCAUCAUUUAAAGAAAGCGUAAUAGCUCACUGGUCGAGUCGGCCUGCGCGGAAGAUGUAACGGGGCUAAACCAUGCACCGAAGCUGCGGCAGCGACGCUUAUGCGUUGUUGGGUAGGGGAGCGUUCUGUAAGCCUGUGAAGGUGUACUGUGAGGUAUGCUGGAGGUAUCAGAAGUGCGAAUGCUGACAUAAGUAACGAUAAAGCGGGUGAAAAGCCCGCUCGCCGGAAGACCAAGGGUUCCUGUCCAACGUUAAUCGGGGCAGGGUGAGUCGACCCCUAAGGCGAGGCCGAAAGGCGUAGUCGAUGGGAAACAGGUUAAUAUUCCUGUACUUGGUGUUACUGCGAAGGGGGGACGGAGAAGGCUAUGUUGGCCGGGCGACGGUUGUCCCGGUUUAAGCGUGUAGGCUGGUUUUCCAGGCAAAUCCGGAAAAUCAAGGCUGAGGCGUGAUGACGAGGCACUACGGUGCUGAAGCAACAAAUGCCCUGCUUCCAGGAAAAGCCUCUAAGCAUCAGGUAACAUCAAAUCGUACCCCAAACCGACACAGGUGGUCAGGUAGAGAAUACCAAGGCGCUUGAGAGAACUCGGGUGAAGGAACUAGGCAAAAUGGUGCCGUAACUUCGGGAGAAGGCACGCUGAUAUGUAGGUGAAGUCCCUCGCGGAUGGAGCUGAAAUCAGUCGAAGAUACCAGCUGGCUGCAACUGUUUAUUAAAAACACAGCACUGUGCAAACACGAAAGUGGACGUAUACGGUGUGACGCCUGCCCGGUGCCGGAAGGUUAAUUGAUGGGGUCAGCGCAAGCGAAGCUCUUGAUCGAAGCCCCGGUAAACGGCGGCCGUAACUAUAACGGUCCUAAGGUAGCGAAAUUCCUUGUCGGGUAAGUUCCGACCUGCACGAAUGGCGUAAUGAUGGCCAGGCUGUCUCCACCCGAGACUCAGUGAAAUUGAACUCGCUGUGAAGAUGCAGUGUACCCGCGGCAAGACGGAAAGACCCCGUGAACCUUUACUAUAGCUUGACACUGAACAUUGAGCCUUGAUGUGUAGGAUAGGUGGGAGGCUUUGAAGUGUGGACGCCAGUCUGCAUGGAGCCGACCUUGAAAUACCACCCUUUAAUGUUUGAUGUUCUAACGUGGACCCGUGAUCCGGGUUGCGGACAGUGUCUGGUGGGUAGUUUGACUGGGGCGGUCUCCUCCUAAAGAGUAACGGAGGAGCACGAAGGUUGGCUAAUCCUGGUCGGACAUCAGGAGGUUAGUGCAAUGGCAUAAGCCAGCUUGACUGCGAGCGUGACGGCGCGAGCAGGUGCGAAAGCAGGUCAUAGUGAUCCGGUGGUUCUGAAUGGAAGGGCCAUCGCUCAACGGAUAAAAGGUACUCCGGGGAUAACAGGCUGAUACCGCCCAAGAGUUCAUAUCGACGGCGGUGUUUGGCACCUCGAUGUCGGCUCAUCACAUCCUGGGGCUGAAGUAGGUCCCAAGGGUAUGGCUGUUCGCCAUUUAAAGUGGUACGCGAGCUGGGUUUAGAACGUCGUGAGACAGUUCGGUCCCUAUCUGCCGUGGGCGCUGGAGAAUUGAGGGGGGCUGCUCCUAGUACGAGAGGACCGGAGUGGACGCAUCACUGGUGUUCGGGUUGUCAUGCCAAUGGCACUGCCCGGUAGCUAAAUGCGGAAGAGAUAAGUGCUGAAAGCAUCUAAGCACGAAACUUGCCCCGAGAUGAGUUCUCCCUGACUCCUUGAGAGUCCUGAAGGAACGUUGAAGACGACGACGUUGAUAGGCCGGGUGUGUAAGCGCAGCGAUGCGUUGAGCUAACCGGUACUAAUGAACCGUGAGGCUUAACCUU
rnacentral:rRNA from 1 species